rnacentral:rRNA from 1 species
AUUGAACGCUGGCGGCAGGCUUAACACAUGCAAGUCGACCGAGCGGCGGACGGGUGAGUAAUGUCUGGGAAACUGCCUGAUGGAGGGGGAUAACUACUGGAAACGGUAGCUAAUACCGCAUACCAUCAGAUGUGCCCAGAUGGGAUUAGCUAGUAGGUGGGGUAAUGGCUCACCUAGUCGACGAUCCCUAGCUGGUCUGAGAGGAUGACCAGCAACACUGGAACUGAGAAAAGGUCCAUAUUACUACGGGAGGCAGCAGUGGGGAACAGUGCACAAUGGGCGAAAGCCUGAUGCAGCCAUGCCGCGUGUAUGAAGAAGGCCUUAGGGUUGUAAAGAACUUUCAGCGAGGAGGCGUUACCCGCAGAAGAAGCACCGGCUAACUCCGUGCAAGCAGCCGCGGUAAUAC